rnacentral:rRNA from 1 species
AUUGAACGCUGGCGGCAUGCCUUACACAUGCAAGUCGAACGGCAGCGGGCCUUCGGGUGCCGGCGAGUGGCGAACGGGUGAGUAAUGCAUCGGAACGUGCCAUUGAGUGGGGGGAUAACGUAGCGAAAGUUGCGCUAAUACCGCAUAUUCUGUGAGCAGGAAAGCAGGGGACCGCAAGGCCUUGCGCUCUUUGAGCGGCCGAUGUCAGAUUAGCUAGUUGGUGGGGUAAAGGCCUACCAAGGCGACGAUCUGUAGCGGGUCUGAGAGGAUGAUCCGCCACACUGGAACUGAGACACGGUCCAGACUCCUACGGGAGGCAGCAGUGGGGAAUUUUGGACAAUGGGGGCAACCCUGAUCAGCCAUGCCGCGUGAGUGAAGAAGGCC